CCUACGGGAGGCUGCAGUGGGGAAUAUUGGACAAUGGGGGGUACCCUGAUCCAGCCAUGCCGCGUGUGUGAAGAAGGCCCUCGGGUUGUAAAGCACUUUCAGUGAGGAAGAACGCCUGGUGGUUAAUACCCAUCAGGAAAGACAUCACUCACAGAAGAAGCACCGGCUAACUCCGUGCCAGCAGCCGCGGUAAUACGGAGGGUGCGAGCGUUAAUCGGAAUUACUGGGCGUAAAGCGCGCGUAGGUGGCUUGAUAAGCCGGUUGUGAAAGCCCCGGGCUCAACCUGGGAACGGCAUCCGGAACUGUCAAGCUAGAGUGCAGGAGAGGAAGGUAGAAUUCCCGGUGUAGCGGUGAAAUGCGUAGAGAUCGGGAGGAAUACCAGUGGCGAAGGCGGCCUUCUGGACUGACACUGACACUGAGGUGCGAAAGCGUGGGUAGCAAACAGGAUUAGAUACCCCAGUAGUC
rnacentral:rRNA from 1 species